GACGAACGCUGGCGGCGUGCUUAACACAUGCAAGUCGAACGGAAAGGCCCUGCUUUUGUGGGGUGCUCGAGUGGCGAACGGGUGAGUAACACGUGAGUAACCUGCCCUUGACUUUGGGAUAACUUCAGGAAACUGGGGCUAAUACCGGAUAGGAGCUCCUGCUGCAUGGGGGGGGUUGGAAAGUUUCGGCGGUUGGGGAUGGACUCGCGGCUUAUCAGCUUGUUGGUGGGGUAGUUGUUUACCAAGGCUUUGACGGGUAGGCGGCCUGAGAGGGUGACCGGCCACAUUGGGCCUGAGGUACGGCCCAGACUCCUACGGGCGGCAGCAGUGGGGAAUAUUGCACAAUGGGCGGAAGCCUGAUGCAGCAACGCCGCGUGCGGGAUGCCGGCCUUCGGGUUGUAAACCGCUUUCGCCUGUGACGAAGCGUGAGUGACGGUAAUGGGUAAAGAAGCACCGGCUAACUACGUG
rnacentral:rRNA from 1 species